rnacentral:lncRNA from 1 species
AUCACAGGUGUUGCAGGAAGAGUGAGCCCUGCCAUAGAUGCAAAAGUGUGCCUGCAGCUCUGCUGGCCCUUUUCUGCUCUCUGCAGCUGAUCCCCUCUGGGGACAGGGGAAUUGGAUGACCUUAGAGAAACCUCCCUUGUGCUCCUGUACUUUGAACAUUUUUUCUCCAUGUAUGUACUCAAGUUGCCUACACAGCUUGUAAAGUGCAGGUCUUUGGGAUCCAUUCUAAAGCUGGAAUUUCCAAAAUGGAGCCUUCCCUAUGAUAAGAGAAAAACGCUGGUUCCCAAAUCCUCGUGUGAAAAUUUCCAGAUUAGUCAUGUUUACUUGGGAUCAAGCUGAAUGCAGAUUCUGCUUCCAUGGGUUGGGAAUGGAACCUGGGACUCUGAAUUUCUAAUCACCUGUCAUGUGAUGCGGAUGCUGUGGGUUCAGGGACCCCAAUUUGAGGAGGAAGAGGUGAGUGAAAUGAAUGGCCCAAGGUCUGGCUCAUGACUCAUGAGCUAAGAAUCUUUUUGUGUGUGUAUGGUUGUUUUGAAACUAUUUUUAAAGGGCUGGGGGUGGGGGAAGAAGAAAGACUGUGCAGCACAUGAUAUGUGGCCCACAAAACUUAAAAUAUUUAGUGUCUGAUCGCUUACAGAAAAAGUUUGCACACCCCUGGGCUAAAGUUAAACUGUUGACUUCUUAAUAAACUCCACUGGAAAAGCAAGAUGGUUAGUUUGGAAGAAAGCAAGGUCUGCUCAACUCCACCCUUUCUCUGGGAUUUCCUGGCUGCAGGGAGCAUAGAUUCUGGGAGCCUCUUGGUAAGAGUCUCCGCGGAGCCAAGAAGGGGCCUGUGGUCUCCAGUGUUACACUGAUGGCAUCAGUCUGUCCAGUGAUGUAUUCAGGAGCCCACUUUUCAGUAGACUUAGGUGAAACUCUUCAAACCACCUUAUCAAUAAAAAGGUUUCUAUCUGCUUGAUUCUUAUUUCUGUAUCUUAGUGAUUCAGAGACUGAGUUGGAAGGGGAGGAGGAGUGCUCCUUUAGAGCCUCCCAAGCCCCAGUCUUUCCUAUGACCUUCAGGCAUUUGUUCCGUGUGUCUGUGUCCUUGUUGGACCCUAGGGCAAGGCUUGCAUUCUAUGUCUGACUGACAGAUACGUCAGCCAUGCAUGGCCGCAGACUCAUCAUCCACAUGCUACCAAAUAACUCCUCUGUCAGACCAUGCCAGUGGCUGAUUGUCAUAUCAGAGGGCUCAUUGCCAAUCAGAGUUAGAUCUGUGAGUUAGGAAGCUGAUGUGCAUCGUGG